rnacentral:rRNA from 1 species
GAUGAACGCUGGCGGCGUGCCUAAUACAUGCAAGUCGAGCGAACAGACGAGGAGCUUGCUCCUCUGACGUUAGCGGCGGACGGGUGAGUAACACGUGGAUAACCUACCUAUAAGACUGGGAUAACUUCGUGAAACCGGAGCUAAUACCGGAUAACAUGUUGAACCGCAUGGUUCAACAGUGAAAGACGGUCUUGCUGUCACUUAUAGAUGGAUCCGCUCCGCAUUAGCUAGUUGGUAAGGUAACGGCUUACCAAGGCAACGAUGCGUAGCCGACCUGAGAGGGUGAUAGGACACACUGGAAGUGAGACACGGAACAGACGACUACGGGAGGAAGCAGUAGGGAAUAUUACGCAAUGGGCGAAAGCAUGACGGAGCAAAGCCGAGUGAGUGAAGAAGGUCUUCGGAUCGUAAAACUCUGUUAUUAGGGAAGAACAAAUGUGUAAGUAACUAUGCACGUAUUGACGGUACCUAAUCAGAAAGCCACGGCUAACUACGUG